ACGAACGCUGGCGGCGUGCUUCACACCUGCAAGUCGAACGGAAAGGCCCUGCUUUUGUGGGGUGCUCGAGUGGCGAACGGGCGAGUAACACGUGAGUAACCUGCCCUUGACUUUGGGAUAACUUCAGGAAACUGGGGCUAAUACCGGAUAGGAGCUCCUGCUGCAUGGUGGGGGUUGGAAAGUUUCGGCGGUUGGGGAUGGACUCGCGGCUUAUCAGCUUGUUGGUGGGGUAGUGGCUUACCAAGGCUUUGACGGGUAGCCGGCCUGAGAGGGUGACCGGCCACAUUGGGACUGAGAUACGGCCCAGACUCCUACGGGAGGCAGCAGUGGGGAAUAUUGCACAAUGGGCGGAAGUCUGAUGCAGCAACGCCGCGUGCGGGAUGACGGCCUUCGGGUUGUAAACCGCUUUCGCCUGUGACGAAGCGUGAGUGACGGUAAUGGGUAAAGAAGCACCGGCUAACUACGUG
rnacentral:rRNA from 1 species